AUGUUUGCAGCUGUGAUCGUCGUCGUAUUUGUGCUGUAUGAAUCGGUUAGGUUGUUGGAUGAGGGCUGUGGACUUGGCGAUAGGCUGACACUCGGCAUCAAAGUGGGCAGUGACGAUGGUUCGUUCGAAGGGGUGGAACUCGG
rnacentral:ribozyme from 16 species